rnacentral:rRNA from 1 species
GAUGAACGCUGGCGGCGUGCCUAAUACAUGCAAGUCGAGCGAACAGACGAGGAGCUUGCUCCUCUGACGUUAGCGGCGGACGGGUGAGUAACACGUGGAUAACCUACCUAUAAGACUGGGAUAACUUCGGGAAACCGGAGCUAAUACCGGAUAAUAUAUUGAACCGCAUGGUUCAAUAGUGAAAGACGGUUUUGCUGUCACUUAUAGAUGGAUCCGCGCCGCAUUAGCUAGUUGGUAAGGUAACGGCUUACCAAGGCAACGAUGCGUAGCCGACCUGAGAGGGUGAUCGGCCACACUGGAACUGAGACACGGUCCAGACUCCUACGGGAGGCAGCAGUAGGGAAUCUUCCGCAAUGGGCGAAAGCCUGACGGAGCAACGCCGCGUGAGUGAUGAAGGUCUUCGGAUCGUAAAACUCUGUUAUUAGGGAGGAACAAGUGUGUAAGUAACUAUGCACGUCUUGACGGUACCUAAUCAGAAAGCCACGGCUAACUACGUG